rnacentral:rRNA from 1 species
UACGUAGGGUGCAGGCGUUAAUCGGAAUUACUGGGCGUAAAGCGUGCGCAGGCGGUUCUAUAAGACAGAUGUGAAAUCCCCGGGCUCAACCUGGGAACUGCAUUUGUGACUGUAGAGCUGGAGUGCGGCAGAGGGGGAUGGAAUUCCGCGUGUAGCAGUGAAAUGCGUAGAUAUGCGGAGGAACACCGAUGGCGAAGGCAAUCCCCUGGGCCUGCACUGACGCUCAUGCACGAAAGCCAGGGGAGCGAACGGG